rfam:Haemonchus placei strain MHpl1 genome assembly, scaffold: HPLM_scaffold0000137
GGCCCAAAUUUGAAGUAGAGUAGAUUAGUAGUAUCAGCUGACCCUACUAAACUACUCUACUUCGAGUUUAGGGCCC